AGAGUAUUGACAAACAACAGCACAUGACCAUUUAAACCUACUUCAAGCGUGAUUAUGGACAAACAAGAAAUUAUUUAAAGAAGUUGGUCAAUCUAAGAGCUAAAUAGAAGAUAAACUACAUACGCAAAUAUAUACAGAAGAUACCAAGUAAUCAGGAAAAUAUAUACAGAAUAGACCAAGUAAUCAUGCAAAUAUAUACAGAAGAGGCAGAGUACUUAGCUUCUUAUUCUUGUUCCCAUUUAAACCCCUUUAAUAAAAUCUUGACCCCUUCCACAGGGUUUCGAACCUCCAUAUAAUUGGUUUUAAGAGUUCAAGGAGGUAUUCAUGGUUCUGAGACCUUGGUGUUGUCUCAGAUUUGGAUUUACUCGGUGGUUGAGGAUGUUUGGGACUUAUGGGUGGUAUGGUUGGUGACAAGAAGGACCAAGGACUAACUAGGACGAGUUUGAGCCAUUUCUGGCGGGUUUUGAGAUUUAGGGUUAGGCUUUGAAUUGAAAUUCGAAAGGUUUCAGGCAGAUUCGAGAGAGGUGACCUACACAGUUAGAAUGAGGAGAUUGAGGUGCUUUAGGGGUGUACGUUUGGAGGGCUUUGGGACAGGGUCGCCGGAGGUAGGGUUUCCGACGACCUUUAUAAAAUGUUUGAGAUUAUGGGGUGAGGAGAUUGAGGUGCUUUAGGGGUGUAAAUUUGGAGGACUUUGGGACAGGGUCGGCGGAGGUAGGGUUUCCGACGACCUUUCUGAGAAUAUUUGAGAUGAUGGGGGGAUUCGAAGGGCAUGGGAUGCAGGACAGGGAAGGGGGUGUCCUAAUGGUUCUAUGGUGUAAAGGUGGAAGGGUUUGGAACAAGGUCGCCGGAGACGGUGGUUCCGACGACCCUGUUUUUGAAGAUUGGAGACGGAGGGGGCAUGUUCGAAGGGAAAUAGUUACAGGGUGGGAAAGUGGAGGUCGUGAUGGUUCAGUGAUGUAAAUCUUGGAAGUUUUGGUUGUCGGCCGCCGCCGUGAGGCAAUUUCCGGCGGCGACAUUAGGGUGGUAGGCCGGUGGUCAAGGGGUGGUAGUGGGGUGGUCAACGGAGGCGUUACAGAUGGAGAAGAC
rnacentral:lncRNA from 1 species